CAAAGAGGAAGCGUUUGGCGUCGGACCCGCUCGCAGACGCCCCAAAACACGCAGCAUGGUGUUGCCAUACCUAGAGACGGCUACUGACAUCAGGUAGCGACAGACCUGCCCCCUCUCUCGAUAUGAAAAGCUCAUAUUAAGCGGACUAAAGCACAGUGAGGUCACUCCACCGAGCCACGGCAGCAGCUGCAGGGGAGGCAGGCAGGCAAUGAUGAGGUCAUUCAGCAGGCAGGAUUAAGGCCGUGACAACUGGCGCUGCGACCAGUGCCAGUGCUGACCGGGGCAGUUGUGCAGUGGGCACGGUGCUGCGGGCCCCGGCUCCACACCAGCAUUACCCCACUGUUGUUUUUUCAUUAGCUUGGUGCUGGCCCGGGCCACUUUGCAGCUCGCCAGGCCCACAGCGUGAACCCACAGUUGUUGCGGGGCUUUAGAGGCCGUCUUACUGCAUCUCCCCCUCUCUCUCUCUCUCUCUCUCUCUUCGUCUCUGUCUGUGGUCACAAACUGUGACCGCCAUCCUCACGGGGAAUAAAGGAUCAGGUUACGUACCAACACACUCGUUAACUCAAUUAUGCAAGCCCUUAACGCUUUGAUGUGUAGCGAUAACUCCAGGAUUAUUGAAGGGACAGAUGCCAUCUGACCACAGCGGAGCUUUGUUGCCACAUGCCUCGGCUACGGCCGAUGAAAGACGGACAAAAUGGGACUGGUGAGGGUUCAGGAGAAGGGCCACUUAUAACCUGAAAGGGUUGAAAGACAGGCGCAGGCGUGGGAGGUAUCACAUGAAAGCACGUCGCCGGCCUUCAAAUGUGCGCUCGACAUUCUGGGUGCGAAAAAGCUAAAAGUAGCUUGUAAUGGAUAAACCAGCUCCCCCUAAAAAAAUUCACUUCACCUAACAUCUGCUUAAUAGAUGAAGGAGUAACAGGAUGUGCAACGUGUGGCUUUAAAUUAGGUGAUUCCAGUCUCCAUUUUCGUUUUUUCUUUUUUUAUGCACUUUAAAUUCUCCACCUUCUCCUGCGAGAUGAUGAAAAUGCAUAAAAACACAGCCGCUCACCCUUCAUUGGUUCCCACUUAUUUUUCAGCGGCGCUUGGACGUAAACCUAAAACCAUUAGCUGCACCACUGAGACCAAUUAGCCAAAGCGUGGCCAAACAAACCUUCCCUCGCCUUUUACAACAUGUUCUCUCAUUCUACCCUCCCUUCUUACAGCCUUUCUCUCUCUCCCUCUCCCUCCUUUGUGACGGACUGAGACAGUUAUUUAAGUGUCUUUGGCCUCUUCCGAGCUCCUGAUAAGUGAUUUAUUCAUCAUAAGCAUUUCUGAUGCUUUGCAACUGUAGGGAUGUUCCCUUACGGCCCGGAGGCCUGACAUGUUGAUGUCUAUCUCCCACAUAAGCUCCAGAUGUGAACUCACUGGCUUGAUGUUUGGUUGGAAGAGCUCAGCUGGAAAAACUUUUUUGUAGCCGCUGACCUGAAAUAUCCAACGAAUAAAAGAGAAGAUGGUGGGCGACGCCCUUCAGUUUUGCAUUUGACACCGUUUUAAAUCAGUCCCCGCCCCCCACAAUACAACCUACCUAAUUUUACUGAAUCUAUGUGAGAUUAAACCACAGCAGUCUGAAGACAGUAAACCUUAUCUCCCACUAGGUGGCAAUGCAGUUGCAGACUGACAUGAUAGAAGGGAGACAAACACCUGUGGGAUCACAA